rfam:Trichobilharzia regenti genome assembly, scaffold: TRE_contig0014303
GCUGACGAGUCCCAAAUAGGACGAAAUGCGCAUCC